rnacentral:rRNA from 1 species
AUACGUAGGGGGCGAGCGUUGUCCGGAAUGAUUGGGCGUAAAGGGCGCGUAGGCGGCCCGGUAAGUCUGGAGUGAAAGUCCUGUUUUUAAGAUGGGAAUUGCUUUGGAUACUGUCGGGCUUGAGUGCAGGAGAGGUAAGUGGAAUUCCCAGUGUAGCGGUGAAAUGCGUAGAGAUUGGGAGGAACACCAGUGGCGAAGGCGACUUACUGGACUGUAACUGACGCUGAGGCGCGAAAGUGUGGGGAGCAAACAGGAUUAGAUACCCUGGUAGUCCACGCAGUAAACGAUGAUAACUAACCGUUGGCGAUAGACAGCCAGUGGCCAAGCGAAAGCGAUAAGUUAUCCACCUGGGGAGUACGACCGCAAGGUUGAAACUCAAAGGAAUUGACGGGG